GGGGGAAGCCAUAAUGGUCCACUUAUGCAAGUCUUUAGUGCUUAACCUUGGUACUCGACAAUGCUGAGUGUCACACUGUCAGACAGGACAAGUUUAAUACAAAACACAACAAAAAGACAAAAUGCAAGUGUAUAGUCAAUGGUAAAUGUAUGUAUAGCGAUUUAUCUAGUGUAGAGGAUGCCAAAGUGCUUUACAUGUCGAUGGUGGUAAGCUACAUUGUAGCCCAGCUGCCCUAGGGCAGACUGACAGAAGCUGCUACACAAUGGGCGCCAUCGGACUUCUGACUAACAGCAGGCAAGGCAGGUUUGGUGCCUUGCUCAAGGACUCAACAACUGAGAUGGAUGUGUGUAGCGCCUUUCUCAACUGAGCAGAUCUGACUGCGAGGUGUAGUGUUAACCAGUUUGUAUAAUCAGAAGUAGGUACGGCACGGAGUCAUGAGUGGGGUGAAUAAUUAAUACAACUGAUACAAAAAAGUAAAGUUUGUUAAUAUUGCUAUUUAUUGCAGUGGCAAUAAUAAUAAUAAUAAUAAUACCAAAACAACAAAACAAUAAAUUUCCAAAAACAGAAGGGGAAAAAAACAAACCAACAAAAACAAUUAUAAUAAUAAUCAUUGAUACUUCAAACGUAAUAAAGUCCACAAUAGAUCCAAGAACAAAGAGAAUAAUUAUGUUCCCUUUUCAAUACUCAGAGUUUAGUACCAAAUUUCAUCGCUGCACCAACAUGGAAUGCAACAC